UACGGAGGGUGCAAGUGUUGUUCGGAAUCACUGGGCGUAAAGCGCGUGUAGGCGGCCUCCUCAGUCUGGUGUGAAAGCGCGGGGCUCAACCCCGGAAGUGCAUUGGAUACUGGGAGGCUGGAGUACCGGAGAGGAGGGUGGAAUUCCUGGUGUAGCGGUGAAAUGCGUAGAUAUCAGGAGGAACACCGGUGGCGAAGGCGUCCCUCUGGACGGAUACUGACGCUGAGACGCGAAAGCGUGGGGAGCAAACAGG
rnacentral:rRNA from 1 species